rnacentral:rRNA from 1 species
GAUGAACGCUGGCGGCGUGCCUAAUACAUGCAAGUCGAGCGAACAGACGAGGAGCUUUCUCCUCUGACGUUAGCGGCGGACGGGUGAGUAACACGUGGAUAACCUACCUAUAAGACUGGGAUAACUUCGGGAAACCGGAGCUAAUACCGGAUAACAUGUUGAACCGCAUGGUUCAACAGUGAAAGACGGUCUUGCUGUCACUUAUAGAUGGAUCCGCGCCGCAUUAGCUAGUUGGUAAGGUAACGGCUUACCAAGGCAACGAUGCGUAGCCGACCUGAGAGGGUGAUCGGCCACACUGGAACUGAGACACGGUCCAGACUCCUACGGGAGGCAGCAGUAGGGAAUCUUCCGCAAUGGGCGAAAGCCUGACGGAGCAACGCCGCGUGAGUGAUGAAGGUCUUCGGAUCGUAAAACUCUGUUAUUAGGGAAGAACAAAUGUGUAAGUAACUAUGCACGUCUUGACGGUACCUAAUCAGAAAGCCACGGCUAACUACGUG